UCAGCGGGUAUCCCUACCUGAUCUGAGGUCAAUCACUAGACGUGGUCUCUGUCGGGAGACGAGGCCGGCAUUUCCCUUGCAAUGUGUCAACGAUGCAGGGAGAACACCUCCGCCAUCCCCUAGACGAUAGCUUGCAGGGACGUCCCAGAGGACAUUCCCCAAUCCCAGCCCGAAGCUGUUGGGUUGUAAUGACGCUCAGACAGGCAUACUUGGGCGGUAACCCAAGUGCAAUGUGCGUUCAAAGAUUCAAUGAUUCACUAGAUUCUGCAAUUCACAUUACUUAUCGCAUUUUGCUGCGUUCUUCAUCGAUGCGGUAACCA
rnacentral:misc_RNA from 1 species